rnacentral:rRNA from 1 species
UACUCGAGUGGCGAACGGGUGAGUAACACGUGGGUGAUCUGCCCUGCACUUCGGGAUAAGCCUGGGAAACUGGGUCUAAUACCGGAUAGGAGCCAUUUUUAGUGUGAUGGUUGGAAAGUUUUUUCGGUGUAGGAUGAGCUCGCGGCCUAUCAGCUUGUUGGUGGGGUAAUGGCCUACCAAGGCGGCGACGGGUAGCCGGCCUGAGAGGGUGAUCGGCCACACUUGAACUGAGACACGGUCCAG